AUUGAACGCUGGCGGCAGGCCUAACACAUGCAAGUCGAGCGAGAGGCGGACGGGUGAGGAAUGUCUGGGAACCUGCUUGAUGGAGGGAGCUAACUACUGGAAACGGUAUCUAAUACCGCAUACCAUCGGAGGUGGCCAGAGGGGAUUAGCUAGUAGGUGGGGGAACGGCCCACCUAGGCGACGAUCCCUCGCUGGUCUGAGAGGAUGACCAGCCACACUGGAACUGAGACACGGUCCAGACUCCUACGGGAGGCAGCAGUGGGGAAUAUUGCACAAUGGGCGCAAGCCUGAUGCAGCCAUGCCGCGUGUGUGAAGAAGGCCUUCGGGUUGUAAAGCACGUUCAGCGGGGAGGCGUUACCCGCAGAAGAAGCACCGGCUAACUACGUGCCAGCAGCCGCGGUAAUUC
rnacentral:rRNA from 1 species